UACAGAGGGGGCAAGCGUUGUUCGGAAUUACUGGGCGUAAAGGGCGCGUAGGCGGCCUUCUAAGUCGAACGUGAAAUCCCUGGGCUCAACCCAGGAACUGCGUCCGAUACGGGUGGACUAGAGGUAGGUAGGGGAGAACGGAAUUCCUGGUGUAGCGGUGAAAUGCGCAGAUAUCAGGAGGAACACCGGUGGCGAAGGCGGUUCUCUGGGCCUUACCUGACGCUGAGGAGCGAAAGCAUGGGGAGCAAACAGG
rnacentral:rRNA from 1 species